ensembl:lncRNA
CUAGCAUGCUCACCAAAAGUACACUUAAUGGAAUGCUGAUUAAUGAUGUUUACUGCCACAACUAUUGUUCAUUGCCAUUUGAGGCUUGUUAUUUUAGUAUGUCACUUGUGAUGACAGGUUAUGUAAUUUGUUUUGAGAUUUUCACACUAUGCUGAGGUCACCUUAGUUGAUAUAUUUUAUUCAUUUAUUUAAUUUAAUUUUUUUACCAAGUAUCACCAGGUUUCAUGUGAAGCAGUAUAGAGUUAAUAAUACACAAAUACUGACAAUUACAUGUAAAAACAUUACUAAAUAUUGUUCCUGACUGUGUGGGGAAAUUCAUAACUGAAAUAGUAUUAUAUACACCUACUAUAUGCAGUUGUGACUGGCAAGUGCGUUUCUUCUGAUCACAAAAACUAGUUCCUAUUACAGUGAAUCUGAUAUGGCCAGUUUAUAUUUAUACACAGAGACAUUCAGAUAUGAUACUUUGAUACUCUGGUCUCUCUAUCUUUUCAGCUCACUUCCUCUUCUUUGGCUUCACUCGACAACUCUUAGACUCAGACUUAGAACUCUUACAGGUUUUUAUUCAAAUUCAGAUACCUUGAAAUUCAGAUACUUUGAUACUCUGAUACUUUAAUAUUUUAAUACUAAUAUUUUGGUACUUUUGAUUCAAACCGAAUAAUUGCUUAUGUUUUAAUUACAAUUGUAUUAAUGUUUUGAUUAAUACUGGUUGGGUUCAAUCCAUCAUAAAUGGAUUGUUAUUAAAAAUGUACUAACAUUGGAUUUACAUUUUCUAUAUUUGAAGGUUGUUAUUAUUAUCCAGAACUUUAUUUCCAAGUUAUGAUUUGUGGUUUCUGUUCUCUAUAUUCUUUUUAAUAAAUUUACAUAUUAUUACA